rnacentral:rRNA from 1 species
GAUGAACGCUGGCGGCGUGCCUAAUACAUGCAAGUCGAACGCAUAGCGAAAGGUCCUUGCACCUUUCAAGUGAGUGGCGAACGGGUGAGUACCACUUGGACAACCUGCCUCAAGGCUGGGGAUAACAUUUGGAAACAGAUGCUAAUACCGAAUAAAUCUUAGUGUCCCUUGACCCAAAGUUAAAAGGCGCUUCGGCGUCACCUAGAGAUGGAUCCGCGGUGCAUUAGCUAGUUGGUGGGGUAAAGGCCUACCAAGACAAUGAUGCAUAGCCGAGUUGAGAGGCUGAUCGGCCACAUUGGAACUGAGACACGGCCCAGACUCCUACGGGAGGCUGCAGUAGGGAAUCUUCCACAAUGGGCGAAAGCCUGAUGGAGCAACGCCGCGUGUGUGAUGAAGGCCUUCGGGUCGUAAAGCACUGUUGUAUGGGAAGAACAGCUAGAAUAGGAAAUGAUUAUAGUUUGACGGUACCAUACCAGAAAGGGACGGCUAAAUACGUG